rnacentral:ribozyme from 1 species
GGUUGCAAGUUUGAGGCCAUAGCAGAAGCAUUCAUGGUGCGGCCCUGUCGGAUACCUAUGGAUCUGUGAAUUCUGCU